rnacentral:rRNA from 1 species
GACGAACGCUGGCGGCGUGCCUAACACAUGCAAGUCGAGCGGGGUCCAUCCAGUGGCAACACUGGGGAAGACCUAGCGGCGAACGGGUGAGUAACACGUGAGGAACUUGCCCCGGAGUACGGGAUAACUCGAGGAAACUCGAGCUAAAUACCGUAUGCCCUCUUCUGGUCGCAUGGCCGGAUGAGGAAAGAUUUAUCGCUCCGGGAGAGCCUCGCGGCCUAUCAGGUUGUUGGUGGGGUAACGCCCACAAGCCAUCGACGGGUAGCUGGUCUGAGAGGACGACCAGCCACACUGGAACUGAGACACGGUCCAGACUCCUACGGAGGCAGCAGUGGGGAAUUUUGGGACAAUGGGCGCAAGCCUGAUCCAGCCAUUCCGCGUGCA